UACGUAGGGUGCAAGCGUUACUCGGAAUUACUGGGCGUAAAGCGUGCGCAGGCGGUUUUGUAAGACUGGCGUGAAAUCCCCGGGCUCAACCUGGGAAUGGCGAUGGUGACUGCAAGGCUAGAGUUUGGCAGAGGGGGGUAGAAUUCCACGUGUAGCAGUGAAAUGCGUAGAUAUGUGGAGGAACACCGAUGGCGAAGGCAGCCCCCUGGGUCAAAACUGACGCUCAUGCACGAAAGCGUGGGGAGCAAACAGG
rnacentral:rRNA from 1 species